GCAGGCAGAGCUGGGUUGCAGCCGAGCUGCUCACAGCCUCACCCGCACCCAGGGAACGCAACUUGCUGGGCCCAAAACAGAAAGUGCAAAGGCGUGCACAUGUUUAGGGGAGCCCUCUAACAGUUUGUGCAGGGGGUUUCUUUAAGCAUAUCAACGAUUUGGAGUUUUCGCUUCAGUGUGUCAUUAUGUUCUUUAAUGAAACUACUGGCAAUGAGGUAGUCUUCUUUUUUCUUUUUUUUUUUUCCCCAGUUUGGUUUGAAUUUCUAAAAAGCAUAAUUUCAGCAAUUUUUCUCUGUUCUUACAUGCACACACAGAAAUUGCUUUAGACAGGAAGAAAUUGCUUUAGACAGGAAGAAUUUUCUAAAUCGAGUUAGACUUGAAUCAAGUAAAUGAAAAACCUAUUUUUAAAAAGCACUGUGGUACUUUGCAUUCUUAAAAAAAUUCUUGUAUUCCCAAUUGUUUUUCAGUAAACUUUCAUCGGUCUGUUUAAAGUUCUGCAAGUGUGAAUAUUCAUAUUUCAAACAUCUGGCUUGCAAAUCGAGCAUUUCAGAAGUACUAUAUCCUCACUUACUACAGAAUUGUCAGUAAAACUUCAGCAACAACCAACUCCUUUCCUCGCCAAGGACCAUUUCUGCUUUACUCACACAAAUAAGCUUUUUUUCCAUUUACUGAAAUGGGAGCAAAAUCCAUUCUGAGAUAGUGGCCCCCUGGUUUAAUCCAUGACAAGGGACAAACAAAUAGACCCUUUGAAAUGAGUUUCAUCUUUUGUGUCCCAUUUGUUGUCUGAAGCAGGUGUCAAUUGGAUCUUUUCCUGUCUGUCUGUGGUUGAAAAGCACCAUGUUGUAGUUAAACCCACUUGUAAAUUGUAGCAUUUUACAGACUAACUCCCCCAGGGAUCUACUAAAAAGCUACUUGAGGUUCUUGAGGUUAAGUACCAGAAGUCAAAAAAGGGUUAAUUUGCCCCCCCACCCCCCCUUCAUUUCUCAUUCUGUUUCAAGUUGUUUCUUGUUUAAAAAAGAUCUCUCUAUUGUCUCCAUAUACAGUAAAAACACUCUUCACACACAAGGGUCUGAUCCUGCUUGCACUGAAGUCCAUUUAUUUGUAAAUCAUUGAAAAGUAUUUCUUUUUACAGUAGGCCCAGCCACAAUUUUCCUAUUUUCUUGAGCCAAUAAUCUUAUCAACCACCUGCUUUAAGGCUGAUGAGUGCUAGGGACAACCUCAGCUGUUUUUAACCUUGUGAAGAGGCAACUCUGGAACUAAACUGGCAAGAGGCUGGCCCAAACACCCUGCCAUUUGACCAGACUGGUGGACUGUCCAGAAAAAAAGACACCACUAGUAGCUUCAAUAGCAGCAACAAGCUCCCACACCCCACGUUUUAAAAGAAUGAUAUUAUCUAUAAGAAGAUGCACAGGAAAGGUAUAAAUGAUUAUGUGAUAUAGGUGCAUAAAAUUAAUUAUUAUAGCCAGUGUGAUGGAAAGAUAAAGGCUGAGCUUGAUCAGAUGGGGCUGUGUUGUUACUCAGUGGCACUUGCCCCUCUUUUGUUUCAGUGUUUCUAAAGCUUCCCAUAGGAUUUGUGUCAGGUUGCACCACCUCCUGAAGCCAAUUCUGACUGUAUGAAGAUGUCAUCAAUAAAUAGAGAAGAAAAAUCCCAGUUGUUGAUUAGCAGAAAAUAACUGCCUCAGGCAGCAAUGUGGAGCUCCAGGUAGUGCUUUUUCCAUGCUGUUUUGUUUCAAAUUUGCUGUUGUCUUCAGGGUACCAGAAGAGUGAAAAUCUUCUACAGACAGGUCAGCUGCCUUGAAUAAACACGUGCUUUGAUCUUUAGCGAUUUUCUGUCAUGUGUACCCAAGUGUUGCACAUUCAAACUCUUCUCCCUCCCUCCCUUUCUCACAAGUGCUGAGCACUGCUGUAAACCCACCACAGCCGGGUGAAGAGGAGCAUCCAGCCAGCCCAGCCCUGUGUACCCGGUCAGUCACAGCACUUUCUCCAAAACCUCUGUCUCUGGCAGGACCAGGAGAGAUGUUUGUGUGGUUUCCCCAGAACCUGGUGGCUGUGCUUUCUCCUCAGAACUCGCUGGCAUGCUCCAGGCAUCAGGUCUGCUGCAAAGGCUCUCUGGGCACCUUUCUGCAGCUUCUCUCUGUGCUCUGACCAUCCCAUCCAGAUCCACUGGGACUUUACCAUCCCACCAUGGACAGUAGGUGAAGCUGUUGCUGUCCAAACUGGGCUUGAGAGAACCGGCAAUGUGCACAUUUGUUUGCCAGACAGUGUGCUUGAAUUUGGGUAGCAGAGAACAUUUUUCUUGGAUUUAAAUACUUUAGAUGAGAGGCCCCGGAUACUCUGUUUUCUUUCUCUGAUGCUUUCUUUGACAUAAUAUCAUCCUCUUUAAAGGCACAUUUCAAAUUAUUCCUGUCCUUUACUAGCUGGGACAUUCCCCAGGGAGUCUAUCACUAUUUAGUGUUAUGAUUACCAUUGUAGGUGCUAGGGUAUGGCAAACGUGGGCACCGGUAUGUUAAAAGCUGCACCGAGGGAGGACACAAAAAACCAGCCUACACUUCAGCACUGGUGGAAGGAGCAUCUAAUCCAACUGCCCACCCUUAGUGCAGCAGAAAUUAAUCUGGGACCUCAGCAACUUAAUAAAAAAAAAGUGAGCGAAGGGACACGUGCUAGUUUAAGUUAUUUCCUUCACCUGCAGUAAUAACUAUGAGCCUAUUCUCGCCGUUUCCUUAGAGCAUGCCAAAUGGCUGGGCAACAGAGGUGCCUUCACUGAGCGUGUUGUCACAGUCCCUACAGAAGCAAGAUUUACUUCCUGUAAGAGCUUUUUUUCCCUACAUCUCAGCAAAUGUACAUGUUUUAAAAGACUGUUGGAGAUCCUUCAGACAUCUCUGCAGGGAAUACAGCAUUUGUCAUCGUGCUCAGAUUUGGGUUACCACUGGGCUUCGGAGAAAGAGGUGAAUGGCAGGGAAAAACCUGCCCUUGCUGUCCACGUUUCUGCACCUUUGUGGAAUAAAGCCCCUCUGUAAUGACAGGACUGUGGCAUUUUUCCACUUGCUUCAGUACAUGGUGCGGCGUAUUUAUCUGGAAGCAUUCGCUGGAGAUUCUGUUAUGCAAGAUAAAAGGACAUUUAUCACUAAUACUACCUAGCUCCUAAAGCACUGGCUCAAAACUGAGCUGAGAAACCUCAGUGUAAAUUCAACACUCUAGUAUUACAGGCAUUUAUGCAGGUUUCAAAACAAAUGGUUUAUUCAUGCGGCACUGUUUUGACUUGACAAAGCACUGCACAAAGAUGCUAGGAAAUCCAGAGCAUUGGCUAUCAAAUAGAGGAACCGAUUUAGUAAGAACAAUAAAAUAAAGCCCCUAUCCAGAAGGCAUAACUAGACUACGGAGUUCCUUACCUGUGCCAGGGUAGCACGCACUAGCAGGAGUCUGAGUCACCUUGCACAGGCAGUGCUCCAGCGUUAAAUCACCUAAGUGAAGCCAGGUGACACUUAUCAUCUGAGGCCAUCGAGAAAUGAGCUAUAUUUUCUUUACCUUCUCUGUGGGAACAAAAGCCUCCCUGCAACAGAGACAGCUAAGCUCUUUUUUUAGAAGACAGUCAGCCCAUCAUCUCACUCACCAUCACAGCAUUUGCUGUGAAAUCCUCCUUUCCUUUCCAUGCUGCAGAGCUGUCCUUCAGCUACUCAGCUGGCUUUCUGAUUCUUUUUGUUUAAUUAAGUUCAUGAUCUCCAGAGUCGGGGGAGGGGUGUGUGUGUGUGUGUGUGUAAGAUUCUUAGAAAAAAAAGCCAAAUGCAAGCUGGUAAUGUGAUAUUUUCUCUGCAGAAGUGAAGGGUUGAAAACCAUAGGUGUGAAAGGUGUGAAUUGCUCUGUUUAUUUCUUUAUUUUUUUCACUGUGAGAAAGGCUGCUUAUCUGCUGAGCUGCUGAACAUAGGAUAAGAUUUGUUAGAAUGAUCAGCCAGCUCAACCCUCAGGUCACACAACCCUUUACGGUGAUUUACAACUUUUUGACCCAUCAGCUGGACCAGGGCCACCUCCUCAUUCUGCUCCUAGCUCCUACCAGACAUGUUCGUGUAAAGCUCCUUCUCUGCAGUACCCACCGCCGCACAGACGGCUUGUGUAGGUACACACAGGUAAUUCUUCACACUGGCAUUGAAGAAUGUCACCUGGUGGCCCUCAUCCAAAAUGAGGAUUUUUCACCCUUGACCAGGCUAGUGUAAGGGAGACCAUGGAGCCCUUCAUCUAGAAGCACCAUGACUGGAACCAACAGACCCCUGAAACACCUCACCAUGUGGUAGGGGCUGCAACAUGGAUACCACAACCCUCUUUUGAAACUGCAAUGACGAACAUAGGAUCUGCAGGGCUCGAAAGAGGCAGGACAUGAGGAGAUGAGCUACCAUGGCUUACUGACUCCUCACAUAUCAGCUGAGCUACGCUACCUGAUCAUGUACUGCACUUGUCGUGUCACAAAUGCCACAUCAAAUGUGUGAAUUUAACCCUGUUUUGAAGAGCGGCGCAUUUCCCCUGGCACUGGCAAGAGGCUGGGAGUGCACAUGAGCCGAGUCUGGAGGGAAGAGAAAUGGAAGGUGAAAGCUGGGGGUAGAAGGGUGAGGUGUGAGCUGUGAACCUUCACAGGGAAGGAGCUAUCAAAGGAACACACACCUCCCUUACCCCAGCACCACCGUCAGACCCAGCUGCUGAUUCACCUCCCUGCUGGGUGCCCAUAACCACAGCCCAGGAGCAGCAUCCCCCCCCAGGCUACCGAUGGGUCUCCUGCCCCAGGCAAACCCUGACUUCAUUUUCUAGGGACCAGAUGGUAGCUGCUGGAGCAAGUGUUCACCCAGCCAGGAAAAGAGAGCUUUUCCCUUUGCUUUUAAGUCCAUCUCCCCUAGUUGUGAUUCAGCCGCCUGGAUUCAUCGAUGAAGUCAUCUGCUGAUUUAACAGUGUUUGUGAAUUUAAAUUGGCAUCUACAGCGCACGCGUGCGCACACUUUUCUCUCCAGUCGCCCUCAGCGCAGCCACGCAGGCAGUAUCACCAUACCCAAGUGCCGCUUUUACGCUGACUUUUUCAAGUGGGAAGAGGCUUUGGUUUCUUGUCGCCAUCCGCUCACUGCUAAUAGUAGCAUUGCUCUGUCCCUCGCUAUCUUCGUACAACAGCUUAACGCAUAAAACUUAACGUCCCACAAGGAAACACGCACCAGCACGGGCCCAUCUCAUCUGGAUUAAAGAUGUCUUUUGGUUCAGUCUCUUUCAUAAGGCGAGGGAGAACUUACAUUACCCAGAGCUCGGCGGCAGAUCCAUGUGUGUGUUUUUCACCAGGCUGUCACUUGGACUGUUUCGCAUUACAAGCCUUCAGUCUCGCUCUGGCUGUCGAUUUGUGCUAUUAAGCUCUGAAAUACAGAACUCACGUGCCAGGUUUCCAUUUUUCUUCAACAGCCGGCAUCCACCGACAGCCACUAGGUAGGGUCAGACUUUGGCAAACCUGGAGGACAGUUCUCCUGCCUCUUCACUGCCCACCUCCACAAGCCUGCCACCUUAACCGCUCCAUGCCAUGCCCUCUGCCGCUGGCGUGCCUGCGCAGGGGUGCAGCUGCCGGCCGCCCCGAUCACAGCAAUGGCGGCAGGAGGAGAGCCCAGGCCGAGCAGUGACAUCUGAAGUACAUCAGUGUUUUUAUCUUCUCAGUAUUUUGAUUAGCCCAAGGGAUGUUUGGGUUAAAAAAAAAAACAACACAUUUUUUUAAAAACCACGUGAUGGUCUCACAGGCAGUUACGGUUUUAUGUAAUAUUGAACAGCUCUGUAUGGUUUGCCGCGUAACCGAGAGCAUCGGUGUGAUACCGUGUAUUUAUCAAUGAGUGGUUUCACGAGGCAGAGGGGUCGUACCUCGCUGUAACAUGCUCGGGGCAGCCCAUGAGAGUCCCUGUCCUGCCCGGUCAUCAGCACCGAUCGCUCCUACUGCAGUGCUAACGUGGAACAUGUCUGCAGAUUAAAAAUCCUGAAAUCUGAA